UAGGUGCUGAACUGCAUCAAAAAAAAAAG
rnacentral:piRNA from 1 species